rnacentral:rRNA from 1 species
AUGCUCGAGAUGGCUGCUGCGAGUGACAGAGACCCUUUCGGAGACCUCCCUGACGAGCUCCUAUGGCGUGUGCUGUCCUUCCUUCCGGCAGAGGAUGCCCUGCAGACCUGCGUGCUCAACACCCGCUGGCGCGACCUCUGGAGGCGCCUGACCAGCCUGCUAUUCGUCUUUGACGGGCCAACGUUCCCGCGAUACAACCGUUUCAAACAGUUGGUGAAGCUGGUCAUCUGUCUCCGCGGGGACUCGCCUCUCAUCAGGUGCGAGAUCGAUGCCUAUCCUGACGAUGAGCCGGAGAACACGUUCACAAACACCAGGCUGUUGAUUGACUACGCUCUGGCAUGCAAAGCUGAGGAACUCGUAGUAAGAGCAGCUGACAUUCAGUACGACCUACCAGUGUUCGAUGUGCCUCUGAGUCUCAUCUCCCAACACUUGAAGACCCUGCACCUUGAAGGGGUCAACCUCGACCACUCUGCUUUGAAGUUCUCAGGCUGCCCGGUGUUAAGAGGACCUAAGGAUUCAACUUUGCAACAUUCGUGCAUGUGA